rnacentral:tRNA from 1 species
UGGCAUGUAGCUCAGUUGGUAGAGCAAUCGGCUGUUAACCGACGUGUCGUGGGUUCAAUCCCCACCUUGCCAG